rnacentral:rRNA from 1 species
UACGAAGGGGGCUAGCGUUGCUCGGAAUCACUGGGCGUAAAGGGUGCGUAGGCGGGUCUUUAAGUCAGGGGUGAAAUCCUGGAGCUCAACUUCGGAAUUGCCUUUGAUACUGUCUGUCUUGAGUCCGGGAGAGGUGAGUGGAAUUCCUAGUGUAGAGGUGAAAUUCGUAGAUAUUAGGAAGAACACCAGUGGCGAAGGCGGCUCACUGGCCCGGUACUGACGCUCAUGUGCGAAAGCGUGGGGAGCAAACAGG